CAAUAGCGUAUAUUAAAGUUGUUGCAGUUAAAAAGCUCGUAGUUGAAUUUCGGGUCCCCGCGCUCGGCGCUUCAUUGUGCCGUCGUGGUGUCCCUCCUCGCCGUAAGGCGUCCUUUACUGUGAAAAAAUUAGAGUGUUCAAAACAGGCAAUCGCUUGAAUACAUUAGCAUGGAAUAAUAAGAUAGGAUCUUGUCUAUUUUGUUGGUUGCGGACAACGAUAAUGAUUAAUAGGGAUAGUUGGGGGUGUCCGUAUUGAGCUGUCAGAGGUGAAAUUCUUGGAUUUGCUCAAGACGAACUACUGCGAAAGCAUUCACCAAGGAUGUUUUCAUUAA
rnacentral:rRNA from 1 species